rnacentral:rRNA from 1 species
AACGAACGCUGGCGGCAUGCCUAACACAUGCAAGUCGAACGAGACCUCCGGGUCUAGUGGCGCACGGGUGCGUAACGCGUGGGAACCUGCCCUUAGGUUCGGAAUAACUCCCCGAAAGGGGUGCUAAUACCGGAUAAUGUCUUCGGACCAAAGAUUUAUCGCCUUUGGAUGGGCCCGCGUUGGAUUAGCUAGUUGGUAGGGUAAAAGCCUACCAAGGCGACGAUCCAUAGCUGGUCUGAGAGGAUGAUCAGCCACACUGGGACUGAGACACGACCCAGACUCCUACGGGAGGCAGCAGUGGGGAAUAUUGGACAAUGGGCGAAAGCCUGAUCCAGCAAUGCCGCGUGAGUGAUGAAGGCCUUAGGGUUGUAAAGCUCUUUUACCCGGGAUGAUAAUGACAGUACCGGGAGAAUAAGCUCCGGCUAACUCCGUG